rnacentral:rRNA from 1 species
GCAUAUCAAUAAGCGGAGGAAAGAAACCAACAGGGAUUGCCCCAGUAACGGCGAGUGAAGCGGCAACAGCUCAAAUUUGAAAUCUGGCCCCCCCCGGGGGGCCCGAGUUGUAAUUUGCAGAGGAUGCUUUGGGCGAGGCGCCUUCCGAGUUCCCUGGAACGGGACGCCACAGAGGGUGAGAGCCCCGUCUGGUCGGACGCCGAGCCUCUGUAAAGCUCCUUCGACGAGUCGAGUAGUUUGGGAAUGCUGCUCAAAAUGGGAGGUAUAUGUCUUCUAAAGCUAAAUACCGGCCAGAGACCGAUAGCGCACAAGUAGAGUGAUCGAAAGAUGAAAAGCACCUUGAAAAGGGGGUUAAACAGUACGUGAAAUUGUUGAAAGGGAAGCGCUCGUGACCAGACUUGGGGCGGGCGGAUCAGCCGGCGUUCUCGCCGGCGCACUCCGCCCGUCCCAGGCCAGCAUCAGUUCGCGCCGGGGGACAAAGGCGGCGGGAACGUGGCUCCCCAGGGAGUGUUAUAGCCCGCCGCGCCAUGCCCCGGGGGCGGACUGAGGGCCGCGCAUCACUGCAAGGAUGCUGGCGUAAUGGUCACCAGCGACCCGUCUUGAAACACGGACC